ACAAAAACUGCCACCAUCUUUCAUGUGAUGUGAAAAUCUACAAUUUUCUAAGACAGAAGAUUCAAUCUACCAAUCUUGAUCCCUCGAAACUCCUCUCAGGGCUUAAAGAGUGUUCUGAACACAAGCAGCUACAAAAACUACCACAGGACAUGUCAGGAUUUCCACCAGGCUCCAUCACCCAUAAAUUAGAGUAUGUGUGUAUCUCUCCAAUGAACUAAUUUGCCAUCCUGUACUGAACAAGGGAUUUGGUGCCUAUAUCGACCAGCAGGCCUCAGUCAGUCCUCAUAUUAAAGAAGAAAAGUUGUCCUCAGAAAAAAUGAACCAUUAAAUCCUGUUUAGGAAUAAUUUGCAUCUUGAAGAACAUCAUGCCAAUGGAAAAAAUCAUUGACAAAGUCAUUGGGACUCAGUGUGUGAAGAACAUCUUUAACUUCACUAAUAGACUUCAGCUUAAAUAUGGGUUGGGGAGGGAGGACAGAAUACAAUGUUAAAUUAAUCCAACAAUUUUGUGCUCUUUAAGCAAGUAAACAUUCAGUCAAGACUCUCUUUAAAGAUUUUAUAAUAAAUUAAAGAACAGUAAAAAAUAUUCUUGCCAAUUGAGGAUAUUCAGGGUUAUAUAUUUUUGUUUCCCAUAAUGCCAAGAGUAAUAAAUUGGGUUCACCCUGUUCAUUGCUUUCCCUCAAGACCGUCCAUUUCUUAC